rnacentral:rRNA from 1 species
AUACGGAGGAUCCGAGCGUUAUCCGGAUUUAUUGGGUUUGAAGGGAGCGUAGGCGGACGCUUAAGUCAGUUGUGAAAGUUUGCGGCUCAACCGUAAAAUUGCAGUUGAUACUGGGUGUCUUGAGUACAGUAGAGGCAGGCGGAAUUUGUGGUGUAGGGGUGAAAUGCUUAGAUAUCACGAAGAACUCCGAUUGCGAAGGCAGCCUGCUGGACUGUAACUGACGCUGAUGCUCGAAAGUGUGGGGAUCAAACAGGAUUAGAUACCCUGGUAGUCCACACAGUAAACGAUGAAUACUCGCUGUUUGCGAUAUACAGUAAGCGGCCAAGCGAAAGCGUUAAGUAUUCCACCUGGGGAGUACGCCGGCAACGGUGAAACUCAAAGGAAUUGACGGGG